GGGAACCCGGCCGCCCCGGGCCGCGCACGCCGCCGGCUCCUCCGUUGCUACCGCUACUGCUUGGCCGCCUCCACUCAAUAGGCCCUCCUCCCGGGGAAGGCCGGAGACUGCCUGAGCAACGGGGAGAUUCAACGUGUUACAAACAAACAUAUUCCACCUGUUACAACAAUCUGGCAUAUUACUUUCUUGAUACGUGAUGAUACAAUACCUCUCAGGUUUGCCGAGUAGCAAAGAGAAAUCUGGUUCCACAACUAUCGGGUGACAGUCUCAGAGGAUGGAUUUUGGUUCUUCCAGAGAACUGCAGGACAACUACAAAAGGGGAAGUCUGAGUAACACGCUUCAGCAAUGAAUGGGAAAUCAAAACAUUAAAGAGUGCAAAUGAGAAGACCAUCCUAUUUUGCAGGAAGUUUGAGAUACUACAUUCGUCCAGGUCAUCCAUUUUUAUCCUUUUAAAAGGGAAUCUUCCUCCAUGACUAGUGUUUGGACCUAUUUUGAUAUGCUUUUUGAAAAAGGAUUGUCUUUAUUUAGAUGGAAGUGAAGGUAACUCUCGACUCAGCUGAAGUAAGCUUUUCAAGGAAGAGAACCUCAAUGCCAUGAGUUCAGACCUGCUUCUUUUUAGAUAUUAGCUGAUGAUAUCCAAAAGGUCUUGUUCUCCUGCUGUACAUUGUGAACAACUUUCAAAGAAACACCUGGAAGUGCUAACAUUGUGUGGUUCAAGAACAAUGCUGGAAUAAAAGGGGGACAAGUUCAAUAUCCUGACAGUUCUGCAGUCCACCAAGUCUGUUAUUUCUGUUCUGUCUUUAUAAUGGCUAUAAAGUAUGAGCUGGGAGUAUGAUGUGAAUGCAUCCACUUUCAAUAAUUGAUAUGAUGAAUAAUCUCAACCUUCUGACACCUUCUGUAUCUCCUUACAUCUUAGGAAACUUCAUUCAUCAACCACAUUUGAAAUGUUUAAGUAAUCUCAGUGAUGUAUGGAGCACUGAAACUCCCUUGUUAGAAAUCCAUGCUACUAACAUUCUAUCAAAUUAAAAAGCCACUGAGCUCUUGUGCAUAAAAUUAUCAUCAAUUAUCUCUGAAGGUUCAUUGCUGUUUGGAAUGUUUAAUUGCUCACUCAGCUGAACUUCAGCAGCUCAAGAUUAUUAAUCAAUUUGUCAGAAGGUUUCUCAUAAUGUCGCCUUUUAUGCUGCAGUUAUAUGGGUGGAAAACCCAUGUGCAAGACAAUUUUAUGCAGCAAGUCAACAGUAGCCAUCCAUACCCUUCAUAAUAUUCCUUUCAUAUAUUUAAGAGUAUUUUUUGCUCUUGAUUUCUCACAGAAGACUGGGAACUUGUAAUUACCUCAACCUAAUUUAUUUGGAUGGAAAACUAGAUUCUCCAAAACAAUAUUUAUAAGUAAGAAUGGAGACAGAUAAUAAGAAUAGGACUUUUGAAGCAUUUAACCCUGGCCUAAUGUUGUUGUCAUCAAAGUGUUGUCAUCAAAGUAUUGUCAUCAAAGUAAAUAUUUCUACUAACUGCAGUAACAGUAAAGACCUUUUGAAAAUGCCAUACCUUAACUGUACGUGAACAGGUUUUUUUCUUAACAAAAAAAUGCAUCUUUGCUUUAAAUAGUCUUUCAUGAGAAAAUUUGACUUUUAGGACAUACUAAACCCAUGUAUUUAAUGUUAAUUGAAAUACUUUUCAUUAUUUGUUUUGAAAAUGUCUUUUUUAAACUUUAAGAGUUAUGAAUUCAUCCUUUCUAUACUGUUUUUUGUUUUACAAAUGCAACUGUGUAUGAGACCUUAUAAGUGGGCUGAUGAUAGUAUUUCUGUUUAUAAAUUUUUAAUUAAUUAAAUCUUUUAGGAGUUCUAUGGUGCAGCACUACAGAAAUAGGGGAUUCUGCUUUUCCUGCUCUAGAGAAUUGAAAAGAGUUUGGAAUGUUUUGGAGUAAUAUAUUUCAGGAUUCUUUAAGCCACUCCAGAUAUUUUCUCAAGAUGAAAAAGCUUCCAAAUAGAUAGACUGGAAACAUUAUGGACAUUAUCCUCUUUCUUUUACUACAUGAAUUUUCAUCAUAUUAUUUUCUAUGCAUGUAGGUAGAGGAUGAAUGCUACCAUAUAGUUUCACAUAUCUAUUUGAUAUUAGGCAUUUAUGCAGCAUAUCACACCAUGGUAUAUCUACCAAAAAUUGAAAAUGAAAGAAAGUAUCAGGUUUCUCCUUCGUCAAAGUUCUUUCAUAAAAUUAAAAUAUUAGAAUAAGAAAUACAUUUUUGUGUCUAAGAAAUGUUUCAGGUGUCAGAAAUAUGUUGAAAACUAGCAUAUUUUUUUUUCCAAGUCUCCUCACUGUAAUCAUUCAAAGUCUUUCUUAAAACAUAUUAUGUCCAUUAGCAGAUGGGAAACAAAACACCAGUACAAGUACAUAACAUCUCUAUACUUUCUGACAUCUGGGGAUAUCACAACAAAUGUGUAACAACUCCUUAGUACAGUUUCAUCACCAUUACCAAUCUCCAUUACCCAUCUCCAUUACACAGAAUUUCUAGCACCAAGAAAUAAAGAUUGUCAUUACCUUUGGCAUUGAGUCAAACCCAAAAUGAUAUGCAGAAGAUUGAGCAUGAAAUCUUUUGAAGAAAUAGGAAGAGAAGCCAGAUCCUCAGAUUCCCAAUAACAUGUCUUAACACAUGAACCCUUCCUUCAUCACCCUGCUCAGCAGUGAUGCCUUACAGAUGAACAACUGAGCUGUGAUUAGAUAGAUCACAGACUCUUCAGUAUUAGUAUCUUUUUUUGUUCUUUGCACUAUACAAGUCUGCCAUAGCAUAUAUUAGCACUAGGAAAAUAUAGCAUUGAGAAAUAUGGAGAUGAAAAUGUUUAAAGUGCACUAUGUAUGUGGCAAAUCACAACAAUUCCUAGAAAUGUUCAGUUCUGUAAGGUAAGAAUAUAUACACUUUGUGUAUGUGUUGUUCUUCCUUCAUGCAGCAUACCUUUAUCCAUUCACUGAUUACUUCAAAUCGAUGUGGAUGUGAAUGUACUGUUAUGGAUGAUCCCAAACCUGCACAUAUUUGGGCCUAGUUAACUCAUGACCUUAGUGAAAAUAAACUCAUCAGUAAGUAUCAA